CCGGUCUCAGUUCGGAUCGCAGUCUGCAACUCGACUGCGUGAAGGUGGAGUCGCUAGUAAUCGCGGAUCAGCAACGCCGCGGUGAAUGCCGUUCCCGGGCCUUGUACACACCGCCCGUCAAGUCAUGAAAGUGGGCAGCACCCGAAGACGGUGGCCUAACCCUUGUGGGGGAGCCGUCUAAGGUGAGGCUCGUGAUUGGGACUAAGUCGUAACAAGGUACC
rnacentral:rRNA from 1 species